AAAUAAAUAAAAGAAAAAAAGAGACAACUCAGUGUUGCAAUCAUCAUCAUCACUGAAAUCUUCAUCAUCGAUAUCAGAAACAAAAAAAAUCAAAUUUUCCUAAAUCCACAAUCACAUUUUUUCCUCUUUUAAUUACGAACGUGUCUCCAUCAAUUUGUAAAGAAAAUCGAAAAAUCCAAAAUCACCCAAAUAUCAAAUAUUCAUUAACUCAAAAUCAAAGUAUAAUAAUACUGAAUCAAUUCCAAAUUGGUAAAGAAAAGAAUCGAAUCGCAUGAAAAAUCAAUUAAAUUGAAUUUCCAAACUUGUCUUUUUACUAUAAAAGAAGAAGCUAUAUGAAGAGAAAGGGAGGGCGGAAAAACAAAAAAAAAACAUCAUCGCAAAUCAACCAUGGUUGAACCAAUUCCAAACUCCAACUAUAAUAACGA
rnacentral:lncRNA from 1 species